GUUUCUGUGGCGCAAUCGGUUAGCGCGUUCGGCUGUUAAUCGAAAGGUCGAUGGUUCGAAUUCAUCCAGAAACG